AGAAAUGUUGAAUCCUUCCAACGAUAUGAGCAACACAAUUUACCUACCAACCCGUCCCGACUGACUACCCUGCUCCGAAACAAACCAGAUGAUAAGAUUAACAGACUGGAGCAGCUCCAGUCAUUUGAGUUAUGUCAUCAAAGCUGUGCGAUUGACCCACAGACUAUACGACCCGCAGGUGUUCUUCUACCUGCGCCAACAUAACUGUCUUUCAACUGACUAGCAAUCUCGAGCACCAACUUUUCAAUUGAACAGCUGUCCAGCACAAGCAAGGAACCUCAGCAGCCAGCUCACUUUCAUGCCAAACCUUCGGCACAUCUAAGCAGUCUUUCCACCUCUACCAGCCAUCCAGUAAUAUGCAUCCGCUGUCGGCUUGGAUACUGACUGUCAACACCUCUUUGACGUUGUUUCUUUGGAACUUCCUGUUUCGGCAGGUCUUUUGCAAGAAAGUGGAAGAUGACCCGGAACACGCGGUCCCCAUCACAGCAUGAAUAAGUACACAUACCUGGCUCCUUCCCGCAGGGGGCUUGCUUCAAGUCAAAAGGACCCAACCACAGCAAGAUAGAGCAGAGCGGUGGAGAAGAGGGGGCGGAUCAUUUCCAGAAUACUUUCAUUGCUCCUACAUUCAUGGUUUUGAAGCGUGGUUCAGUUGUUGUUCAUCUAACACUUACCGUUACUGGAACGGUUUGUAUACAAAGAUGAAAGAAUCAAGGCAAAAUUGGAGCCAACCAAAUUUUCCGCUCAGAUAUCUUUUCAUCUUAGUACUCCUUUUAACAGCACAAAACAUUUGAAGGUGAGGUGAGGUGUGCCCUUCAGAUUCAACACAUUUUAUUAAAGGUACAGUGUGUAGAAUUGAGGGGCAUCCAGCAGAAUAGACUUGUCCAAAAUGGAAUGUAAAAUUCAUAAGUUUUCAGUUGGUUGCAAUCUUUCAUAACCAAUUUCAAACAACAAAUAUACCUCUUUUGAAAUCGUCCAAGUACCCCCUCCAAUCCUCCAUAGAUAAGUUUUAAUAUCAGAAAAUCAUCCCCAUUGAUUGAUAGAUGAGUCUAAUUAGGUUCCAUUAAUUUGAUAUGAUAUGGAUAUAGGAUGUAGGACACAUAUAUAUGUGAAAAUUAUAUAGAUUAUAUAUAAAUUAUAAAGAAAAUACAUAGUUGGAAAUGCAGUGUGUUACAAAAUAAAAAUAUAUAUUGUGUUUUCAAAGCUGAAAUUGUGUUUGUUGUAGUAAUACUUUGGCACUUGUUUAAGAGACAUUAAUAGGUGAUGCUAAUGUUAAAGCUAAACUAGGUUCCCUAUUAUAACAAUCCCUCCCUCCAAAAAUAUCAUCAUUAAUAUAAUCAACAUUUGAUGAGUCAUUGUCACCAGCAUGAGUAUGAAAACAUGGCAAAUAAGCUUGACCUAUCACCUUUCACCCAACCCUAGAGCUUGGAAAGAAUAUCAUCUGGGGAAUUGCUUUUGUUUGUUGUGUGUUUUGUAUAAUUACAAUGAAAUGAAUGGCCUUGCCCUUCAACAUUAAAAACGCUGGAAUAAUUAAA